rnacentral:tRNA from 2 species
GAUCCAUUAGCUCAGCUGGCAGAGCACCUGACUUUUAAUCAGGGUGUCCCGCGUUCGAAUCGCGGAUGGAUCACCA